rnacentral:rRNA from 1 species
AGCGAACGCUGGCGGCAGGCUUAACACAUGCAAGUCGAACGCAUCCUUCGGGGUGAGUGGCAGACGGGUGAGUAAUACGUGGGAACGUACCCUUCGAUCUGGGAUAACUUCGGGAAACUGGAGCUAAUACCGGAUACGCCCUUUUGGGGAAAGGUUUACUGUCGAAGGAUCGGCCCGCGUCUGAUUAGCUAGUUGGUGGGGUAACGGCCUACCAAGGCGACGAUCAGUAGCUGGUCUGAGAGGAUGAUCAGCCACACUGGGACUGAGACACGGCCCAGACUCCUACGGGAGGCAGCAGUGGGGAAUAUUGGACAAUGGGCGCAAGCCUGAUCCAGCCAUGCCGCGUGAGUGAUGAAGGCCUUAGGGUUGUAAAGCUCUUUUGUCCGGGACGAUAAUGACGGUACCGGAAGAAUAAGCCCCGGCUAACUUCGUG